CCGAGUGACAAGUAGAUUAAACGUUAGGGGAAUGUGACCUGUUCGCAGUUCUUGUGUUGUUUUCUAACGGACCGCAAGAUGAAGACCGUCUUGGCGUUUAUCGUUGUCGUCAACAUCUUUUGCCAUCAUGUAUCAGAAAGUGCAUUUUUCGACAGCAUUUUUCUCAACCCAGGACGACAGCAGAAACUGGUGACUAUCGUCGAUAAGGACCGAGAGAUUUGUGUCGUCGUGCCCAGGCAGAACACGCUAAAGGGGAAGGAACGCUACACAGAUUCCAAUAUUAAAGCAUACGCCGUUUUCCCCGGCCGUCACAAUAAUGCAUUUUCACCGCUGUUGUUAGAGCCAGCAUGCCGAACAUACGAUAUUGCCAUUGGACUAUAUCCCGCUGACUUUGUCUUUC